AUUGAACGCUGGCGGCAUGCUUUACACAUGCAAGUCGAACGGCAGCGCGGGCUUCGGCCUGGCGGCGAGUGGCGAACGGGUGAGUAAUACAUCGGAACGUGCCCAGUAGUGGGGGAUAGCUCGGCGAAAGCCGGAUUAAUACCGCAUACGACCUGAGGGUGAAAGCGGGGAACCUCGGAACCCCGGGCAAUGGAGCGGGCGAGGGCAGAUUAGCUAGUUGGGGGGGUAAAGGCCUACCAAGGCGACGAUCUGUAGCUGGUCUGAGAGGACGACCAGCCACACUGGGACUGAGACACGGCCCAGACUCCUACGGGAGGCAGCAGUGGGGAAUUUUGGACAAUGGGCGAAAGCCUGAUCCAGCAAUGCCGCGUGUGUGAUGAAGGCCUUCGGGUUGUAAAGCACUUUUGGCGGGAACGAAAAGGACUGUGCCAAUACCACGGUUCGAUGACGGUACCCGCAGAAUAAGCACCGGCUAACUACGUG
rnacentral:rRNA from 1 species